rnacentral:lncRNA from 1 species
GUUCAGUUGUUCUACUGACAAGGCCAGCAGUCAGUCACCCGAUAAAAUCAAACUCAAGUCCCUCUAAAAAAUUCUUCAACUACAAAAGAAAAUCAACAGAGAGUUUCAAAGUAAGAGAAGCUUUAAGUUACAAAUAAAAAAUAAAUUUUGAAGUAAGAGAAGCACUGACCAGAGAUUGAUGAAGAGGGGUUCUCUAUUUUGAAGUGCGAAGUGAUGGAGGCGAACUGGUGGAGGAGAGCUUUGAUUUUUGAUUGAGGAAUAACGAAGAAGUGAAGAAGAAGAACUGGGAAAGCAGGGACUGUUGAUUGGGGCUUUUGAAAAUUGGGGUUUUUGGGAAUUGGGGCUUUUUGACUAGUAUUAUUAAUUAUUAAAAGUUCAAAUUAUAACUUAAUAGAGAACAAGUGGAAUAAAAAAUUAUUAAUUAGUCAACUUGACUAAUAAUUAAUAAAUAGUAUUGUUAAGUUAUCG